rnacentral:rRNA from 1 species
AUUGAACGCUGGCGGCAGGCCUAACACAUGCAAGUCGAACGAGUGGCGGACGGGUGAGUAAUGUCUGGGAAACUGCCCGAUGGAGGGGGAUAACUACUGGAAACGGUAGCUAAUACCGCAUACCAUCGGAUGUGCCCAGAUGGGAUUAGCUAGUAGGUGGGGUAACUGCUCACCUAGGCGACGAUCCCUAGCUGGUCUGAGAGGAUGACCAGAGGACCUGGAACUGAGACACGGUCCAGACGCGUGCGCGAUGGAGCAGUUGUUGAUAUUGCACAAUGGGCGCAAGCCUGAUGCGGCCAUGCCGCGUGUAUGAAGAAGGCCUUCGGGUGUGGAAGUACUUUCAGCGAGGAGGCGUUACUCGCAGAAGAAGCACCGGCUAACUCCGUGCCAGCAGCCGCGGUAAUAC